CAGCCUUUCACUUGCUUAAUGUAAGUUUCAGAAUUUAACUGAAUGAUUUUAAUUUUGAGCUGCAGCUCAGAGCACCACAGGAUUCUUUAAUGUUGUUUUAUUUUGGGAAAAACAGCGCCGGAUGCAGCUUCCUCCACCAGUAGGAACUUCACCUUCUCCGUAGCGCCGCUCGGUUUGGAUCAAUCAGCAGAAAGACAUUAAUUAAACGGUAACUAACGGGACUCUGAACGAAAGGACUCGCUUUUGCCAUUAAGUACCGUAAUGAGGAGUGGAUAUUCCAGCGGAGAGACGAAGGUCAGCUCCGGUAACGGACAUUGAUGUAAGCCGAACUCCAUUAGCAUUCAGUUUAGUACAUGUGUUACAAGCUGCAACACAUCAGCCACCAGACUCUGAGGAGGCUUUCAGGGAACAGCUGGAUCUGAAGGCAGCUGCGAGGUUCAGGUCUGAGAGCACUCUGAAGCCUCCAACCAGCAGAGCAGAGGACCAGAACCAGCCCUGGACACAGAUCAGCGCCAAGCUGGAAGUUCUGCAGCCACUCAAACAGAAAUUCUCCUCGACCCGCUGCCUGGUUCUGGACUCUGGACGGGUUUCUGUGUGACACUGAGCCUAGGAGGAGUCUGGGAUUUGUAUGCAAAGCAGCUGAGACAAAGAGACAGAGACCCUCCUGCUGCCUGCAGAACAAACAGACAAACAGAAGAUCAGAACGAGCAGAACCCGGUUCUCCACCUGUGUUUGUUCUGCUUUAACUUUUAUCUAUUUCAUUUAUUUUUAUGUCCUCACUGUGGAUCUAAGCGGCAUUAAUUUAUCCACAAACUGAACUCACGGCUUUACAGAAUCACAUCAGCUCAUUUUAUUCAUUUCUCCUGCUCUAAAUGCUUCUAAACAUUUCAAUAAAAUAAUAUAUUUUUGUUUAUAAAUGAAAAUAAUAGAGAAGAAAUAAAGAGUUUGAAUGAAAUCAGUCAAUUUUUGUUGUUCAUGAAAAGGUAAAAUAAAGAUCAGCUCCUUCUGGAUGUUCUCCUCUCUUUUAUUUAUAACAGAAUAGAAUAAAAUAAUAAAAUAAUAGAAUAAACUACAGCUACUCGACGUCACACAAUCGCACCAUGACCCGGAAGUGAAGCCGUUGUGGUUCCUCCGUGUGUCCGCCAGGUGUCGCUAUGUGAUCAGGCAUCAGCAGGUGAGUCUGAUUCUCCUCCAAACUUACCCUCCAAGCCAUGUUUGUUCUCUAAAUGUCACACGUGUUUGAUUGUUUCUGAUUUCUGUACAGAGAUGUGUUUGAAUUCAUUUUAUGGGAAUGUUGGUGGUAAUAAAACACCAUGUACUCAU